GGCCUCAUAGCUCAGAUGGUAGAGAGCAUGCACGUACAAAGCGUGGGGGCGGCAUCCAUGCGUGGGUUCAAAUCCCACCGAGGCUA
rnacentral:tRNA from 1 species